rnacentral:rRNA from 1 species
CAGUAGCCGCGGUAAUACGGAGGGUGCAAGCGUUAAUCGGAAUUACUGGGCGUAAAGCGCACGCAGGCGGUCUGACAAGUCAGAUGUGAAAUCCCCGGGCUUAACCUGGGAACUGCAUUUGAAACUGUCAGGCUGGAGUCUUGUAGAGGGGGGUAGAAUUCCAGGUGUAGCGGUGAAAUGCGUAGAGAUCUGGAGGAAUACCGGUGGCGAAGGCGGCCCCCUGGACAAAGACUGACGCUCAGGUGCGAAAGCGUGGGGAGCAAACAGGAUUAGAUACCCGAGUAGUCCCUGUCUCUUAUAA